rnacentral:lncRNA from 1 species
GCUGAGGUCAUUGGGGGCACGGACUCCACCUCCCAUCUUCUCCCUGGCUCCCAAAUUGAGUUCCCAGCCUGAACUGGAAGGCUGCCCUCCUCUGAGUUACAGGUCUGUGCUCCCUGCCUGCACCGAGGGGCCUCAGAAAGGUCCCUCUCUUAUCUCCCUGCCAGCACCAGGCCCCAGAGGCCCACGCCAGCCCCCGCUAGAGCUGGCCUCGAGUGUCAGGGGGCCGAGGUGGCAACCUCCUUGCACGGAGCUUUUCCAGAGAAUUCAUCACAAGUCCACAUUCAAUUAGGGAGAGCGCGCUGGAUGAGACAAUGGUCCAAACUCCUUGUUAAGUAACAGCCCUAAUUGAUGACAGGGAUGGUGCAGUGGCUUGGAAGCCAGCUCAGAUUGUGUUUUUAAAAUUUUCCUUUCUCCCGGGCUGCCUGCCAGAGCUCCAUGGCACGGUUCUUGAGGAGAACAAAGGAGGCUUUGAAAAUCUUUCUCCCCCUCCUUCAAAUGCUUAUCUGAAAGGACAUCUUUUUCCCCUUAGUCGCUGCAAUCAUAAAAGCACAGGUGAUAAACUGCUUCUUUGUAAUCAUCAAUUGUGAAGGUUUCCUCCCCCCAAAAGCAGGAAUCUUGGCGGCAGCAAGGUAGAGAGGACCAUCUUGGCGCCCACACUGAUGUCUAUCGAGCCUCCAGAAAGGAAAGGGAGGGGGAAAUGAACUUUGUUCAGUGACAACUUUUAUCUCCGGGUCUCGGGCUGCUGAAAUGUCAAGCCGGGGCUAGAUGGGCUCUCCUGACAGCGUUGCUGCACGGAGGCUGCCUCCCAGCCCCAGGGGAUGCAGGGCUGCGGUGGGUGGUGGUGGUGGUGGGGGGUGUUGACUAUAAGUCAACCGAAUACAUCUUGAAUUCUCGAAGCUGGAGUUCGGGACUUGUUGCGUCUCUUCUGGAGAGGAAGGCUGCAGAGUGGAGCCAUCGGAUCUCCUGCUUGCAAUGACCUUGAGAAACUGUCCCCGAAAGGACAGUGCCUAAGCCCAUUUGAGGGGAGAAUCUGUCUGGUUUUUCAACUCCCCAGUUUGAGGUCCAUAGAAGCCGGAAGCACUUUGUUCCAGAAUACAUUCGUCAACUCCAGAGAGACCACACCCUUGGGGCCGGAUGGAGAAGAUGGGACCGUGUUCUCUUGGAGAGCCCGGCUAGUAGGCCGAUUGGCUAGAGUUGAUUCCCAUGAGCAUUGCUGAAGUUGGGACAAACUCAAUUUUAAGUUAAGUGGAAAUAUUUUUAUUUGAGUUAAUGUACAUUGAAUCUGGUAAACACACAGAGUAUAUUACUACGCACUCUGGAAAUGUGCAGUCCGAUCAGCAAACAGAUUAGUUUUAAGUGAAAAGACACUGGCAGGCGCUUAAAUUCAUUGACUUGUUGAGAACGUCUAGAUUUGGAUACAAAUGCACUGGAACGCUACAUCAGUUUGGUGUCUCAGCCCAUCCGCACGGAGAAGCUAUUGAUUUUAGUUGAUAUGCAUUGAUUCCCAGAAAACAGGACGGCUUUUGAAAAUGAACUUCCAGUAAUUUCAGGGAGAAGCUGGCGCGUUUGUCUCCACGCGAGGCUGACUUGUUUUGUUAAACGUGUCUCUACGCCUCGAAGGAACAGAGCAGCAGACAAAUAUCUUCGUAUGAAUUAAAAUGCAUUGAUUCUUGGAGGGAAAUGAUGGUCUC